UAGGGAAUCUUAGACAAUGGGCGAAAGCCUGAUCUAGCCAUGCCGCGUGUGUGACGAAGGCCCUAGGGUCGUAAAGCACUUUCGCCGGGGAUGAUAAUGACAGUACCCGGUAAAGAAGUCCCGGCUAACUCCGUGCCAGCAGCCGCGGUAAUACGGAGGGGACUAGCGUUGUUCGGAAUUACUGGGCGUAAAGCGCGCGUAGGCGGACUAUUAAGUCAGGGGUGAAAUCCCGGGGCUCAACCCCGGAACUGCCUUUGAUACUGGUAGUCUUGAGUUCGAGAGAGGUGAGUGGAAUUCCGAGUGUAGAGGUGAAAUUCGUAGAUAUUCGGAGGAACACCAGUGGCGAAGGCGGCUCACUGGCUCGAUACUGACGCUGAGGUGCGAAAGCGUGGGGAGCAAACAGGAUUAGAUACCCCCGUAGUCC
rnacentral:rRNA from 1 species